rnacentral:rRNA from 1 species
UGGGGAAUAUUGGACAAUGGGGGGAACCCUGAUCCAGCAAUGCCGCGUGUGUGAAGAAGGCCUUAGGGUUGUAAAGCACUUUGGCCGGGGAAGAAGUGACAGUGUUUAAGAGAUGCUGUUAUUGACGGUACCCGGAGAACAAGCACCGGCUAACUCUGUGCCAGCAGCCGCGGUAAUACAGAGGGUGCAAGCGUUAAUCGGAGUUACUGGGCGUAAAGGGCGCGCAGGCGGUCUGACAAGUGGGGUGUGAAAUCCCCGGGCUUAACCCGGGAACUGCAUUCCGGACUGUCAGGCUGGAGUACUGUAGAGGGCAGUGGAAUUUCCGGUGUAGCGGUGAAAUGCGUAGAGAUCGGAAGGAACACCAGUGGCGAAGGCGGCUGCCUGGACAGAUACUGACGCU